GACGAACGCUGGCGGCGUGCCUAACACAUGCAAGUCGAACGGAGUUAAGACUUCGGUUUUAACUUAGUGGCGAACGGGUGAGUAACGCGUGAGGAACCUACCUUUCAGUGGGGGACAACAGUUGGAAACGACUGCUAAUACCGCAUAAUGUUAUCGGACCGCAUGGUCUGAUAACCAAAGAUUUAUUGCUGAAAGAUGGCCUCGCGUCUGAUUAGAUAGUUGGUGGGGUAACGGCCUACCAAGUCGACGAUCAGUAGCCGGACUGAGAGGUUGAACGGCCACAUUGGGACUGAGAUACGGCCCAGACUCCUACGGGAGGCAGCAGUGGGGAAUAUUGGGCAAUGGGGGAAACCCUGACCCAGCAACGCCGCGUGAAGGAAGAAGGCCUUCGGGUUGUAAACUUCUUUUAGCAGGGAAGAUAAUGACGGUACCUGACUAAGAAGCACCGGCUAAAUACGUGCCAGCCGCCGCAGUAAAAC
rnacentral:rRNA from 1 species